rnacentral:rRNA from 1 species
GACGAACGCUGGCGGCGUGCCUAAUACAUGCAAGUCGAACGCAGUGGGGCCGGGUGAGUAACACGUGGGUAACCUCCCAUCAGAGGGGAUAACACUUGGAAACAGGUGCUAAACCGAUACUGAUGGAUGAACCCGCGGUGCAUUAGCUAGUUGGGGAGGUAAAGGCUCACCAAGGCCACGAUGCAUAGCCGACCUGAGAGGGGGAGCGGCCACACUGGGACUGAGACACGGCCCAGACUCCUACGUGAGGCAGCAGUGGGGAAGAUUGGGCAAUGGACGAAAGUCUGACGGAGCAACGCCGCGUGAGUGAAGAAGGUUUUCGGGUCGUAAAGCUCUGUUGUUAGAGAAGCGGUAUCUACCCAGAAAGCAACGGCUAACUACGUGCCAGCAGCCGCGGUAAUAC